rnacentral:rRNA from 1 species
GACGAACGCUGGCGGCGUGCCUAACACAUGCAAGUCGAGCGAAUAGACGUGGUUCUUGCUCCUCUGUCGUUGGCGACGGACGGGUGAGUCAUACGUGGCUAACCUCCCUAUAAGACUUAGCUUACCUCGGGAAACCGUAACACCUCCCGGAUUUUUUAUUCCACCUCAUGCUUCAAUUAUAGAAGCCGUCUUUUCUGUCACUUAUACAUGGCUCCUUGCCGCAUUAGCUAGUUGGUAAGGUACCGGCUUACCAAGGCAACGAUGCGUAGCCGACCUGAGAGGGUGGACGGCCAGACGGGAAGUGAGAGACGGUCCAGACACCUACGGGAGGCAGCAGUAGGGAAUCUUACGCGAUGGGGGAAAGCGGGAUGGAGCAAAGCCGCGGGAGUGAUGAAGGUGUUAGGAUGGGAAAACGCUGUUAGUAGGGAAGAACAAAUGUGUAGGUAACAAUGAAGGUAUUGACGGUACCUAAUGAGAAAGCCACGGCUAACUACGUG